GGUCGUUUAGUUUAAUGGUUGGCACACAGGAUUUUGAUUCCUGUAAUCCUAGUUCGAUCCUCGCCUUGACCU